AUACUUACCUGGAGGUGAAUGGGUGAUCAAGAAGGCCCAUGACCUAGGUUGGCGACCUCCAUUGCACCAAGGAGGGGUGCCCGCCUAACAUCUCCCUGAGUGGGAGAAUGUACGUCAUAAUUUGUGGUAGUGGGGGUACGCGCGCGGCCCCUAC
rfam:Nelumbo nucifera unplaced genomic scaffold scaffold00026, whole genome shotgun sequence